rnacentral:rRNA from 1 species
AGAGUUUGAUCAUGGCUCAGGAUGAACGCUGGCGGCGUGCUUAACACAUGCAAGUCGAACGGAGAACCCCUGACGGAGGAUUCGUCCAACUGAUGGGAAUUCUUAGUGGCGGACGGGUGAGUAACGCGUGAGGAACCUGCCUUGGAGUGGGGAAUAACAGUCCGAAAGGACUGCUAAUACCGCAUAAUGCAGUUGGGCCGCAUGGCUCUGACUGCCAAAGAUUUAUCGCUCUGAGAUGGCCUCGCGUCUGAUUAGCUAGUAGGCGGGGUAACGGCCCACCUAGGCGACGAUCAGUAGCCGGACUGAGAGGUUGACCGGCCACAUUGGGACUGAGACACGGCCCAGACUCCUACGGGAGGCAGCAGUGGGGAAUAUUGGGCAAUGGGCGCAAGCCUGACCCAGCAACGCCGCGUGAAGGAAGAAGGCCCUCGGGUUGUAAACUUCUUUUGUCAGGGACGAAGCAAGUGACGGUACCUGACGAAUAAGCCACGGCUAACUACGUGCCAGCAGCCGCGGUAAUACGUAGGUGGCAAGCGUUAUCCGG